rnacentral:rRNA from 1 species
CGUGCCGCAGCUAACGCAAUAAGUAUCCCGCCUGGGGAGUACGGUCGCAAGACUGAAACUCAAAGGAAUUGACGGGGACCCGCACAAGCAGCGGAGCACGUGGUUUAAUUCGAAGCAACGCGAAGAACCUUACCAAGGCUUGACAUCCCUUGACGUGCAUGGAAACAUGCAUUCCCUUCGGGGCAAGGAGACAGGUGGUGCGUGGUUGUCGUCAGCUCGUGUCGUGAGAUGUUGGGUUAAGUCCCGCAACGAGCGCAACCCUUAUCAUUAGUUGCCAGCGGGUAAUGCCGGGAACUCUAAUGAGACUGCCGGGGAUAACUCGGAGGAAGGUGGGGACGACGUCAAAUCAUCAUGCCCCUUAUGUCUUGGGCUACACACGUGCUACAAUGGCCGGUACAAAGGGCUGCGAAGCCGUAAGGUGGAGCGAAUCCCAUAAAGCCGGUCUCAGUUCGGAUCGUGGGCUGCAACCCGCCCACGUGGAGCCGGAGUUGCUAGUAAUCGCGGAUCAGCAUGCCGCGGUGAAUGCGUUCCCGGGUCUUGUACACACCGCCCGUCACACCAUGGGAGUUGGGAGCGCCCGAAGCCAGUGGGCUAACCAGUAAUGGAGGCAGCUGUCGAAGGCGAGAUCAAUGACUGGGGUGAAGUCGUAACAAGGUAACCAAG